rnacentral:snoRNA from 1 species
AAUGUAAAUGAUGAUAUUUUACCGCCCCAGUCUGAAAUUAGUGAUUGAUCGUUAUUCUGGAAUUCU